rnacentral:rRNA from 1 species
UACGUAGGGUGCAAGCGUUGUCCGGAAUUAUUGGGCGUAAAGAGCUCGUAGGCGGCUUGUCGCGUCGACUGUGAAAACCCGUGGCUCAACUGCGGGCCUGCAGUCGAUACGGGCAGGCUAGAGUUCGGAAGAGGCGAGUGGAAUUCCCGGUGUAGCGGUGAAAUGCGCAGAUAUCAGGAGGAACACCGAUGGCGAAGGCAGGUCUCUGGGCAUUAACUGACGCUGAGGAGCGAAAGCAUGGGGAGCGAACAGG